rnacentral:rRNA from 1 species
GUAGGGGAGCAAGCGUUGUUCGGAAUUAUUGGGCGUAAAGAGCGCGUAGGCGGCCAGGGGUAAGUCUGGUGUGAAAUCCCACAGCUCAACUGUGGAACUGCAUUGGAAACUGCUUGGCUAGAGUGCGGGAGAGGAGAGUGGAAUUCCCAGUGUAGAGGUGAAAUUCGUAGAUAUUGGGAGGAACACCAGUGGCGAAGGCGGCCCUCUGGACCGCAACUGACGCUGAGGCGCGAAAGCUAGGGGAGCGAACGGGAUUAGAUACCCCGGUAGUCCUAGCCGUAAACGAUGGGCACUAGGUGUAGGAGGUAUCGACCCCUUCUGUGCCGUAGCUAACGCAUUAAGUGCCCCGCCUGGGGAGUACGGUCGCAAAGACUAA